AGUGAACGCUGGCGGUAGGCCUAACACAUGCAAGUCGAACGGCAGCACAGGAGAGCUUGCUCUCUGGGUGGCGAGUGGCGGACGGGUGAGGAAUACAUCGGAAUCUGCCCAGUCGUGGGGGAUAACGUAGGGAAACUUACGCUAAUACCGCAUACGACCUUCGGGUGAAAGAGGGGGAUCGCAAGACCUCUCGCGAUUGGAUGAGCCGAUGUCGGAUUAGCUAGUUGGCGGGGUAAUGGCCCACCAAGGCGACGAUCCGUAGCUGGUCUGAGAGGAUGAUCAGCCACACUGGAACUGAGACACGGUCCAGACUCCUACGGGAGGCAGCAGUGGGGAAUAUUGGACAAUGGGCGCAAGCUUGAUCCAGCCAUACCGCGUGGGUGAAGAAGGCCUUCGGGUUGUAAAGCCCUUUUGUUGGGAAAGAAAUCUUUCAGGCUAAUACCCUGGGAGGAUGACGGUACCCAAAGAAUAAGCACCGGCUAACUUCGUG
rnacentral:rRNA from 1 species